UACGGAGGGUGCGAGCGUUGUUCGGAAUCACUGGGCGUAAAGGGCGUGUAGGCGGUCCGCUAAGUCUGAUGUGAAAGCCCGGGGCUCACCCCCGGAAGGGCAUUGGAAACUGACGGACUCGAGUCCCGAAGAGGAGGGUGGAAUUCCUGGUGUAGCGGUGAAAUGCGUAGAUAUCAGGAGGGACACCGGUGGCGAAGGCGGCCCUCUGGACGGUGACUGACGCUGAGACGCGAAAGCGUGGGGAGCAAACAGG
rnacentral:rRNA from 1 species